rnacentral:rRNA from 1 species
UACGAAGGGAGCUAGCGUUGUUCGGAAUCACUGGGCGUAAAGCGCACGUAGGCGGAUUGCUAAGUCAGGGGUGAAAUCCCGGGGCUCAACCUCGGAACUGCCUUUGAUACUGGUGGUCUAGAGUCCGGAAGAGGUGGGUGGAAUUCCUAGUGUAGAGGUGAAAUUCAUAGAUAUUAGGAAGAACACCGGUGUCGAAGGCGGCCCACUGGUCCGGUACUGACGCUGAGGUGCGAAAGCGUGGGGAGCAAACAGG